AAAAAAGCAGGGGUCUGUUGCCUAUGUGAACAGUCCUCUCGUAAACUUCAGGGAUAUAAUAACAUUGUUAUUGGGUGAACCUAUGCUCUUUGUUUAUGACUGAAGGUUCAGUAAACGAUGGUACAUGU
rfam:Lupinus angustifolius cultivar Tanjil contig_26329, whole genome shotgun sequence.